UACGGGAGGCAGCAGUGGGGAAUAUUGGACAAUGGGCGGAAGCCUGAUCCAGCCAUGCCGCGUGUGUGAAGAAGGCCUUUUGGUUGUAAAGCACUUUAAGCGAGGAGGAGGCUACUAGUACUAAUACUACUGGAUAGUGGACGUUACUCGCAGAAUAAGCACCGGCUAACUCUGUGCCAGCAGCCGCGGUAAUACAGAGGGUGCGAGCGUUAAUCGGAUUUACUGGGCGUAAAGCGUGCGUAGGCGGCUGAUUAAGUCGGAUGUGAAAUCCCCUGAGCUUAACUUAGGAAUUGCAUUCGAUACUGGUCAGCUAGAGUAUGGGAGAGGAUGGUAGAAUUCCAGGUGUAGCGGUGAAAUGCGUAGAGAUCUGGAGGAAUACCGAUGGCGAAGGCGGGCCCCUGGGACAAAGACUGACGCUCAUGUGCGAAAGCGUGGGGAAGCAAACAAGGAAUUAAGAAUAACC
rnacentral:rRNA from 1 species